GAUGAAGAACGCAGCGAAAUGCGAUACGUAAUGUGAAUUGCAGAAUUCAGUGAAUCAUCGAGUCUUUGAACGCACAUUGCGCCCCCUGGUAUUCCGGGGGGCAUGCCUGUCCGAGCGUCAUUGCUGCCCUCAAGCACGGCUUGUGUGUUGGGCCUCCGUCCUCCUCCCGGGGGACGGGCCCGAAAGGCAGCGGCGGCACCGCGUCCGGUCCUCGAGCGUAUGGGGCUUCGUCACCCGCUCUUGUAGGCCCGGCCGGCGCUUGCCGACACAUCAAUCUUUUUUCCAGGCUGACCUCGGAUCAGGUAGGGAUACCCGCUGAACUUAAGCAUAUCAAUAAGCGGAGGA
rnacentral:misc_RNA from 1 species